AUUGAACGCUGGCGGCAGGCCUAACACAUGCAAGUCGAGCGGAUGAGGAGAGCUUGCUCUCUGAUUUAGCGGCGGACGGGUGAGUAAUGCCUAGGAAUCUGCCUGGUAGUGGGGGAUAACGUUCCGAAAGGAACGCUAAUACCGCAUACGUCCUACGGGAGAAAGCAGGGGACCUUCGGGCCUUGCGCUAUCAGAUGAGCCUAGGUCGGAUUAGCUAGUUGGUGAGGUAAUGGCUCACCAAGGCGACGAUCCGUAACUGGUCUGAGAGGAUGAUCAGUCACACUGGAACUGAGACACGGUCCAGACUCCUACGGGAGGCAGCAGUGGGGAAUAUUGGACAAUGGGCGAAAGCCUGAUCCAGCCAUGCCGCGUGUGUGAAGAAGGUCCUCGGAUUGUAAAGCACUUUAAGUUGGGAGGAAGGGUUGUAGAUUAAUACUCUGCAAUUUUGACGUUACCAACAGAAUAAGCACCGGCUAACUUCGUGCCAGCCGCCGCCGUAAAAC
rnacentral:rRNA from 1 species